rnacentral:rRNA from 1 species
CUGGUUGAUCCUGCCAGUAGUCAUAUGCUUGUUUCAAAGACUAAGCCAUGCAUGUCUAAGUAUAAACACCUUUAUACUGUUGAAACUGCGAACGGCUCAUUAAAUCAGUUAUAAUCUACUUGAUCGUAUACUCUACUUGGAUAACCGUAGUAAUUCUAGAGCUAAUACAUGCAAAAAGUCCUGACUGUGGCAACACGGAAGGGAUGCAUUUAUUAGGUACAAAAUCAAUGCUGGCCAUUCCAAACUGCGGCUAUCCUUCGGGGUGGUCGUGGGGUCAGCUCAAUUGAUGAUUCAUAGUAACUAAGCGAAGCGCAGGGCUUGUCCCGGCGCUGAUACAAACGAGUUUCUGCCCUAUCAACUAGAUGGUAGUAUAGGGGACUACCACGGUCGUAACGGGUAACGGGGAAUUAGGGUUCUAUUCCGGAGAGGGCGCCUUAAAAACGGCACCCACUUCUACGGAAGGCAGCAGGCGCGCAAAUUACUCAAUCCCAAUCCGGGGAAGUAGUGACAAGAAAUAGGAUUGUAGUGCAUUACGUGUACUAUAUUUCC